UAGUCCACGCCGUAAACGAUGGACACUAGUUGUUGGAAUUUUCAGUGACUAAGCGAAAGUGAUAAGUGUCCCACCUGGGGAGUACGAUCGCAAGAUUGAAACUCAAAGGAAUUGACGGGGGCCCGCACAAGCGGUGGAGCAUGUGGUUUAAUUCGAUGAUACGCGAGGAACCUUACCAGGGCUUAAAUGUAGAUUGACAGGUUUAGAGAUAGACUUUUCUUCGGACAAUUUACAAGGUGCUGCAUGGUUGUCGUCAGCUCGUGCCGUGAGGUGUCAGGUUAAGUCCUAUAACGAGCGCAACCCUUGUCGUUAGUUGCCAGCAUGUAAAGAUGGGGACUCUAACGAGACUGCCGGUGCAAACCGUGAGGAAGGUGGGGAUGACGUCAAAUCAUCACGGCCCUUACGUCCUGGGGCCACACACGUGCUACAUGGUAUGGGACAAUGAGCAGCCAUCUGGCAGCAGAGAGCAAAUCUACAAACCAUA
rnacentral:rRNA from 1 species